AUGGUGGGCAGAGCUGAUAAUUGGCUGGGGAGUGCUAAGCUAGCCAAUGUAUCAAUGCCAUGGGAAGAUUUUUGCAGGCUCAUAUGCAACAGAUUUGCUGAUUCCAGUAUAUAUGAAAUUCUGGAGAAGUUCCACUCUGUUAAGCAGCUUAGUAUGUCAGUCUCUGACUACACAGACAAGUUUGAAGAAAUCAUGGCCAUUGUCCGGGAAGAGCACCCAUAUCUUCAGGAACACCAUUAUGUUGUGAGUUUUGUCAAUGGUUUAAAAUCUAGUAUCAGAUGUAAUCUUAGGCCUCAAAGACCAAAAACACUUAGUGAAGCUUACUGGAUGGCAAGAGAUUAUGAAAGUGGACUCUAG
rnacentral:rRNA from 1 species